UCAUCAUUCUGUCACAAAACUGUUCCCAUAUUAGUUGGUGAGGAUUUUUUUCUUGUUGAUAAGUUGUCACGUCUUCAUCUAUUGAGAAAACAUCUUGAUCUCUACCUUCAUUCCUAUCUACAAUGACAGUUGCUUCAUUGGGUCAUAUAUGAAAAGUCUUCUGUCUUCUUCUGCUCCUUUCCUUAUUUCUAACUAAAUUUCAAGAAAGCUUCUUCUGCAAUUACAGUUUACCUUCUGUAAUUACAGUUUACCCAAUUCUCAGGCUGCCUUCUCGGUUACAGGAUGCCGAACUAAAGAAAUGGGACAAACUCUCUCGUAGAAACCAGUUGCAUGGUUGAAUCUAUAAUCCUUGUGGAUCUGAAUUAAUUAUUAGAUAUUAAGGACUUAAAAUUCAAUUUCUAUGCUAGAUUAUAGAUUUUUGAAGGAUGAUGGCUUAGUCAACUGGGCAUCUCGGUAAAGUGCUGUCCAGGUGAUAAAGGGCUGAGUGGUGGUUUACAUUUCUCCUGAAUUUGAAAACAGAGGGGGGAAAAAAAGAAUCUUUUAUUUGCACCAUAUCAUUUUUCUGCUGCCGCAUCUUUUUAAUAAAUCUUCUUGUCCUCUUCUAGGCC
rnacentral:lncRNA from 1 species